GAUGAACGCUAGCUACAGGCUUAACACAUGCAAGUCGAGGGGCAGCAUGGUCUUAGCUUGCUAAGGCCGAUGGCGACCGGCGCACGGGUGAGUAACACGUAUCCAACCUGCCGUCUACUCUUGGACAGCCUUCUGAAAGGAAGAUUAAUACAAGAUGGCAUCAUGAGUCCGCAUGUUCACAUGAUUAAAGGUAUUCCGGUAGACGAUGGGGAUGCGUUCCAUUAGAUAGUAGGCGGGGUAACGGCCCACCUAGUCUUCGAUGGAUAGGGGUUCUGAGAGGAAGGUCCCCCACAUUGGAACUGAGACACGGUCCAAACUCCUACGGGAGGCAGCAGUGAGGAAUAUUGGUCAAUGGACGAGAGUCUGAACCAGCCAAGUAGCGUGAAGGAUGAAGGUCCUACGGAUUGUAAACUUCUUUUAUAAGGGAAUAAAACCUCCCACGUGUGGGAGCUUGUAUGUACCUUAUGAAUAAGCAUCGGCUAACUCCGUGCCAG
rnacentral:rRNA from 1 species